GGCUCAGGAUGAACGCUGGCGGCGUGCCUAACACAUGCAAGUCGAACGAAGCACUGCGGAUGGAGAUUCGUCAAAAUCUGCUUUGACUUAGUGGCGGACGGGUGAGUAAUGUGUGAGCAACCUGCCUUUCAGAGGGGGACAACAGUUGGAAACGACUGCUAAUACCGCAUAAUGUAUUGGAAGGGCAUCCUCUUGAUACCAAAGGAGCAAUCCGCUGAAAGAUGGGCUCACAUCUGAUUAGCUAGUUGGUGGGGUAACGGCCUACCAAGGCUGCGAUCAGUAGCCGGACUGAGAGGUUGAACGGCCACAUUGGGACUGAGAUACGGCCCAGACUCCUACGGGAGGCAGCAGUGGGGAAUAUUGGGCAAUGGGCGAAAGCCUGACCCAGCCAACGCCGCGUGAGGGAAGAAGGUCUUCGGAUUGUAAACCUCUGUUGACAGGGACGAAAGCGGGGCAACCCGCGUGACGGUACUUGUCGAGGAAGCCACGACUAACUACGUGCCAGCAGCUGC
rnacentral:rRNA from 1 species